CCCGUGUUCCGGGGUCGGUGAGAAUCCGAACCGGCGGUGACAGUCCGCGAACCCUGCUUCCGCAGGGCCGAUCCGGUGAAAUUCCGGUACCGACGGUGAUGCACGGCUCAGGCCGUGCUAGUCCGGAUGAGAGGAACGCGCG
rnacentral:ncRNA from 2 species